rnacentral:misc_RNA from 1 species
GAUGAAGAACGUAGCGAAAUGCGAUAAGUAAUGUGAAUUGCAGAAUUCAGUGAAUCAUCGAAUCUUUGAACGCACAUUGCGCCCGCCAGUAUUCUGGCGGGCAUGCCUGUUCGAGCGUCAUUUCAACCAUCAAGCCCUGUGCUUGUGUUGGGGGCCUGCGGCUGCCGCAGCCCCCUAAAAGCAGUGGCGGGCUCGCUGUCAUUCCGAGCGCAGUAACUUAUCUCGCUUUGGUCGUGGCGGUGGGCACCUGCCGUAAAACACUCUUUUUCACAAGGUUGACCUCGGAUCAGGUAGGAAUACUCGCUGAACUUAAGCAUAUCAAUAAGCGGAGGA